CCUGCGUGAUACUGCAGGUCGGAAUGUGGCCAGCGUGGUCCCCCGGACCACGCGGCUGAACCAUCAA
rfam:Halococcus saccharolyticus DSM 5350 contig_30, whole genome shotgun sequence.